AUUAAACGCUGGCGGCAUGCCUUACACAUGCAAGUCGAACGGCAGCACGGGGGCAACCUUGGUGGCGAGUGGCGAACGGGUGAGUAAAGCAUCGGAACGUGCCCUGGAGUGGGGGAUAACGUAGCGAAAGUUACGCUAAUACCGCAUAUUCUGUGAGCAGGAAAGCAGGGGAUCGCAAGACCUUGCGCUCUGGGAGCGGCCGAUGUCGGAUUAGCUAGUUGGUGGGGUAAAGGCCUACCAAGGCGACGAUCCGUAGCGGGUCUGAGAGGAUGAUCCGCCACACUGGGACUGAGACACGGCCCAGACUCCUACGGGAGGCAGCAGUGGGGAAUUUUGGACAAUGGGCGAAAGCCUGAUCCAGCCAUGCCGCGUGAGUGAA
rnacentral:rRNA from 1 species